rnacentral:tRNA from 2 species
GCGGGCGUGGCGGAAUCGGUAGACGCACCGGACUUAAAAUCCGUUGGGCUUUGCUCGUGCCGGUUCAAGUCCGGCCGCCCGCACCA